ensembl:lncRNA
UUUUGUUGUUUUUUUUUGUUUGUUUUUUUUUACAAAAUUUGGUUAAAGUUUUUUUUUUUUUUUUUUUUUUUUUUUUAAACAUAAGAUAUGCAGAAUAAAGUGAAUUUAGUGGCAUCGUGAUUUUAGGAUUAGAUUUGGUUCAGCUUUCUGGUGUCCCUAAUGGUCAGUUCAAGGACUGUAGGAACAUUGAAAAUCCAACCAUCCUCACACAAUUUGUGGCUCUGAAAAGCGGUGUAAUUUUGGCAUUUUUAAAAAAAAAAAAAAAAAAAAGAUAUGCUUUUCAAACCUGCCGGCGGGUUUUGGAGUUCAGAGUUAAUCUGUCUACAAAUCCAGAGUAUCUUUUCCUGCUGAGGCUAUUUUAUGAUUUUACAAACCUGUAUGGGUUCAUAAUAAUCCACAGUUAACCUUCAUGUUGUCCUCAAAAUUCACCCGUUUUAAAGUUUGAAAAUGUGGAAAAAAAUAUAUUUUCACAGUGAAACUUCUGAUGUCCACAUUUUCAACAUUUUUGGGAAAUUUGUGAACAUUUUUUGGUGGAAAAAAAGAAAUGUUAAACAUGUUUCUUAAAAUGUUUCUUAAGAAAAAUCUUAAGGAAAAAUCAAUCUUAAGAAAAAUCCAAAUCAUUUUUUGUGAAUGUUCUUAAAGAAAAUAUUAGAAGUUUUACUGAUAUAUAUGUCAUCACUUUAGAUAUUUUUAGGAUUUGUUUGGAAGAUUUUUACAAAUUUUUGAAAAUAUUUACAAGAAUUUUCUUGCCAUUUUUUUUUUUUUUUAAAGAAAACUUUUUUUGAAUUUUCUUCCUGAAGGUUUUGCAAAUUUUCAGAAGUUUUUGGGUCUUUUUCAGACAAGGAAACAAUAUUUUUUGGUGGCCGUAAUUUAAGACAAAUGGAGGGUUAAUGAAUCUGAAAGCAAAUAAAUUAAAUAAAAGCUUAAAAAAAUAUCACUGUAACAGCAGGUCAAACAGAUCAGCUGGCUUCUGAAUAAGACUUUAAAACAUUUUUUCAUCUGUCUUUCACAUUGUUUAGUUUUAAUUUGUUGAAAAAUGUAAAAGAUUAAGCCAUUUUUGCUUUUUCUUCAAUUUUAGUCUUGUUUUUUCUGCCUAAAUGAAUUCUGGGAGAACUACACUUCAACUACCGUUCAAACGUUUGGGGUCACUUCUAGAAAUGUCCUUAUUUUUGAAAGAAAAGCAGUUUUUUUCCAAUAAAGAUAACAUUAAAUAAAUCAGAAAUCCAGUCUACAUAUUGUUAAUGUGGUAAAUGACUAUUCUAGCUGGAAACAGCUGAUGUUUAAUGGAAUAUCUCCAUAGAGGUACAUAGGAACAUUUCCAGCAACCAUCACUCCUGUGUUCUAAUGCUACAUUGUGUUAGCUAAUGGUGUUGAAAGGCUGAUUGAUGAUUAGAAAACCCUUGUGCUAUUAUGUUAGCACAUGGAUAAAAGUGUGAGUUUUCAUAGAAAACAUGAAAGCGUCUCGGUGACCCCAAACUUUUGAACGGUAGUGUUAAUCAGCUCCAACAGUUUUUACAUUCAACCAAACCAGUUUCAGACCUGCUGGUCACAACCAGCUGUUUCCCUUUCGCCUCCUGUCUUUAAUGCUAAGCUAACAACUCCAGCUGCAAAACAAAACUGCAGCUGGACUCUCCAGAAACAGCCGAGCAGUGACUGGCUUCUGCCUGAGGAUCAACAUUAGUUACAGACUUCACAUGAGGAAAAUAUUUGAGUGUAAAGUCGCCUGUAUGUUUGUAAAGCACAAGCAUUACAAUGCAAAAACACACAGAGCAGAAUAUAUUUAAAUAAAUAAAGGACCAUGUUGUGUUUAAACUGUCAGCAGCCCGUAACUUAAUAAAGUUUAUAUUUACUGAAACCA